UAAGAAAGGAGAACACCCCCACGACCUGUUCGCCCCAACCGCCGCAUGCCCCUUGCCUCGCUGCCGAGUGGCGACCCCGCCGCCGCACGCAUCCGGCACCCACUCGCCUCUCCGGCGCCUGCCUCAUCUCCCCCAUGCGAACCUGCUCUACGUGCCGCCCCUCAUCCUCGGCGGCGAGAGGCACGCGGGAGCUGCCGCCGCUGCCAAGGGCAUGGACGCGUGUGGGCCAACCGCCGGCGUAGGAGGUCGCGCCUGAGCCCGCGGCACGGUGCCACGGGGUCCUCCGCCGCCAGUCCCUGUCGGUUCGAGAUCCCCCACUGCUCUCCUCACUGUCGUCGUUGUCCUUCCUUACUAGCCCCGCCCUUCUCCAAGACAAUGUUCUGCUCCGCCUCCAUCCAUUAUUGAGAAGAUGGUACUCCUCGGAGUAGAAGCUGAUGUACUGUAGUCAUGUUCAAGUGAUGGUUGACUAAGGUGCUGUUGAGAUGACUACGUUGCUGUCAAUUCAAAUAAACCUGAAUUGACUUUCGAGUAAAAUGGGGCAGAGUUCAACUUCAAACAAAGCGGCAAGACAAUAAUAAUAGAUUUUUAGAAUUUUUUUUAGAGGAGUGUGUUUCAUGCUGGCCUACAAUGAUGAACUAGGGCUGGCUUAUAAUCUAUUUUUUAAUUUAGCUGAUGUGCAAAUUUAACAAAGUGCAGUAGGGCUGGACUUUUCAUAGGUAGCGGCCUCAGUUUAUCUCCAAGGGAUUAUUGUUUCCAGACAUUAUUGUAGACAUUUUUGGAUAUAGGGCUGGCCUUUUUCAACCAUAGAUUUUCACAAACUGUAGACAUCUCAAGACCUGCUUCUUGGAACAACAACACACCAUGAAUAAAUUAACAGAUCAACAAAUGGUCCAGGAAACAUAGCUGCUUGCUGGCAUCUCCUGAAUUUCGAACCAAAACGAGAUCCAAUUCAUAAAUGAACCAAAACAUGACUGCUUGCUGGUAUCUCAUGGUAACACACCAAAUUAUUCAAAUAAAAUACUCCAUAUAAUUCAAAUAAAUACUCCUGUACAGGAGCCACCAUACAAAUCACUCAGUAAUUUGUUGUGAGUACAACUUGAGAAAGAGUUUUUCAAAGAAACAAAAGAAAGUAACUAAAACUUCAGAGUAUAUUGUUGUUUAUAUAAACUGAAACCCAUUUUGGUUGAACAGAGAAAAUAAUAUAGAACUGUGGUCUAACAUUUUUGUCGUGAUUCUUCUAAUUUGAAUUUAAAUGCAACAAGGUAUUGUCAAUUUUUGUAACAGGAUUUUGUUGUGGACUUCAGAUUUUAGAAGAAGAGAUUGGUGGUGUUAAACACCAUUUUUGGACCAAUCAAUGAAUUAGCAUUUAAUCCUAAUGGGAGGAGGUUAGUUCAUACUCUAACAUUGUAUUUUGAUUUCUUAUGUUUGUAUUUUGCCUCUGAUCAAGAUUAGCAUUUAAUCCUGGACAUUUUAACAAUCUCCCAGUCCAACUUUCAGGUUUUGAAAGUAGCAUAUACAUCAAAUAUUUGUGGACAUCAUGCAUGCAUUAAAAUCUGGGAAAAGUUAGUUUCUUGGCUAUGUCUUGUCAUAGCUGGGUGCUCCUGAUUCAAAAGAAUUAAAGGUGAACUCCUCAAAGCAUAGUUCAGCAAAAAGAACACUGCAGGUAAAAACACAAGCAGGAAACAUUGUGAUGUUUGUCUGAAUUUAUUUCCCGCACACCAAUUGUUUAUCUCAACAUCUGUAGAGGUUAUGCCCGUGCUACUGAAUUUAAAAUCGAACGGAAUUAUCAUUUAGAUGCGCUUUUGAUAGCCUGCAGUUGGUUAUUUGGUUCUCCGAAACUCCAGAUCAAUGCAGUCACCUACUGUUAGUUCCAUUACAAUUCCAUUUCAUAACAGAAAAAUAGCACACUGUCCUGUUUGUUAAAGAUAAACACCUCCUUUAGUGUUCACUGUUCAGUGUUCCCAUAAGUUCACUGUUUUGAUGUCUAGGAGGAACUGAACAAACUCUGCUUGCCAAAUGAGAUUUGAGCACGAAGCUCCUUAACCUAAAGGCCGAAGUGAACAAACGUCCCAUCUCAGCAAUCCCAGCAAUCUUGUCUGAUUUUGAUUAUCUCCAAAAUUAACAGUGAAUUUGGUUGAAUUACUCUGUACCUUCACAGUGCAGAGGAGGAGGAGCUUAGCAGCAGCAGAGCGGGCACGGGAGAAGCAUGGGAGACAGCAGAGCUUCACCAACGGGAGCUCGAGGAGAAGCAACAGCCGGAGCUCAAGGAGAAGCAGUAGUCGGAGCAUGAGGAGAAGCGGUAGCGGGAGCUCGAGGACACGCGGGAGAGCAGUUUUGGGUGGGGGCGACGGUGACGGCGCAGGUCUGGGCGGCGGGAGGGUAUCGCGGCGGCGGCGGCGACGCCCGUAGGGAAUCGCGGCUGGCCGGCGCCGGCACCUGGCAACGCGCGGGCGACGAGCAAAGGAAGAAGGCGGGGUGGAGUGGUCUAUUUGAGACACUUUUCAAAUUGCGAGGGCUUUUGUUCGCAAAUUUAGCAAUGAACUGGCCGCGCGACAAGAAUAUCGGGACGGAGGGAGUAUUGUUUUGUUAUUCUCAUUUUUUAGCACGGAUAUGUCUACCAUCAAACAUAUUAGAGUUGACAGCCAAGAUAUACCUACUUAAGCAUUAACAUUGUAUGUAUACCGUAUACAUUAAACGACCAGUGCCGGUGCUAAUUUCAGCUUUUUA